rnacentral:rRNA from 1 species
UUCUUGGUGUUUAUUAUACUAAGUAUGGCCUGCUCAAUGAUUUUAAAUAGCCGCAGUUUUACACUGUGCAAAGGUAGCAUAAUAAUUUGUCUUUUAAUUGAGGUCUAGUAUGAAGGGUUUAACGAGGAAUUUACUUUUUUAAUUAAAUUUUUUUUAAUUUAAUUUUUUAGUUAAAAAGCUAAAAUAUAUAAAUGGGACGAUAAGACCCUAUAAAAUUUUAUUAAUUAUUAGUUUAAUUUAAGUUAAGUAUUUAUAUUAAAUAUAAUUUAUAAUUAAUUUAGUUGGGGUGACUGUUUUAUAUCAAUAACUAUAAUUUUAUUAAUUCACUAAUUUGUGAUUAGUUGAUCCUAAAUUUUGGAUUAUAAGAUUAAAUUACUUUAGGGAUAACAGCGUAAUUUUCUUGGUAAGUUCACAUUUAUAAGAAAGAUUGCGA